rnacentral:rRNA from 1 species
ACCUCGGAUCAGGUAGGAAGACCCGCUGAACUUAAGCAUAUCAAUAAGCGGAGGAAAAGAAACCAACAGGGAUUGCCCUAGUAACGGCGAGUGAAGCGGCAACAGCUCAAAUUUGAAAUCUGGCUUCGGCCCGAGUUGUAAUUUGCAGAGGAAGCUUUAGGCGCGGCACCAUCUGAGUCCCCUGGAACGGGGCGCCAUAGAGGGUGAGAGCCCCGUAUAGAUGGACGCCUAGCCUGUGUAAAGCUCCUUCGACGAGUCGAGUAGUUUGGGAAUGCUGCUCAAAAUGGGAGGUAAAUUUCUUCUAAAGCUAAAUAUUGGCCAGAGACCGAUAGCGCACAAGUAGAGUGAUCGAAAGAUGAAAAGCACUUUGAAAAGAGGGUUAAAUAGCACGUGAAAUUGUUGAAAGGGAAGCGCUUGUGACCAGACUUGCGCCGGGCGGAUCAUCCGGUGUUCUCACCGGUGCACUCCGCCCGGCUCAGGCCAGCAUCGGUUCUCGCGGGGGGAUAAAGGCCCUGGGAAUGUAGCUCCUCCGGGAGUGUUAUAGCCCGGGGCGUAAUGCCCUCGCGGGGACCGAGG